rnacentral:rRNA from 1 species
GACAGAGGAUGCAAGCGUUAUCCGGAAUGAUUGGGCGUAAAGCGUCUGUAGGUGGCUUAAAAAGUCUCCUGUCAAAGAUCAGGGCUUAACCCUGGGCCGGCAGGAGAAACUCUUAGGCUAGAGUUUGGUAGGGGCAGAGGGAAUUCCCGGUGGAGCGGUGAAAUGCGUAGAGAUCAGGAGGAACACCAAAGGCGAAAGCACUCUGCUGGGCCACAACUGACACUGAGAGACGAAAGCGAGGGGAGCAAACAGG